CGGAAGACAGCGCAUAAUAUGACUUAAUAUGUACAAUGUUUUGGCGUUUUUUUUUUCUCCGUGAAUUCAUAUACUAUAUUUUAAACCGGUAGGUUUUUUUUAUUUUUGUUGUUGUUGUCGUUUUACCAUCAGAGAUUAUUAUUAUUAUCAUCAAAAAAUGCACGAGUCAUUAUUAUUUCCAUUAUUGUCGAGAAUUGAACGCUUUACCUAUACGGUG